GUGGGGAAUAUUGGACAAUGGGCGCAAGCCUGAUCCAGCAAUGCCGCGUGGGUGAAGAAGGCCUUCGGGUUGUAAAGCUCUUUCAGAUGUGAAGAUGAUGACGGUAACAUCAGAAGAAGCUCCGGCUAACUUCGUGCCAGCAGCCGCGGUAAUACGAAGGGAGCGAGCGUUGUUCGGAAUCACUGGGCGUAAAGAGUGCGUAGGCGGUUAUACAAGUCAGGAGUGAAAUCCCAGGGCUCAACCCUGGAAUUGCUUUUGAAACUGUAUAGCUAGAGUCCCGGAGGGGUUAAUGGAAUUCCGAGAGUAGAGGUGAAAUUCGCAGAUAUUCGGAGGAACACCAGUGGCGAAGGCGAUUAACUGGACGGGCACUGACGCUGAGGCACGAAAGCGUGGGGAUCAAACAGGAUUAGAUACCCGAGUAGUCC
rnacentral:rRNA from 1 species